GACGAAGGUGGCUAGCGUUGUUCGGAAUCACUGGGCUUAAAGAGCACGUAGGCGGCUCAUCAAGCGCUUUGUGAAAUCCCUCGGCUCAACCGAGGAAUUGCUUGGCGGACUGAUGGGCUUGAGGUAGGCAGGGGCGAGUGGAACUCUUGGUGGAGCGGUGGAAUGCGUAGAUAUCAAGAGGAACGCCGGCGGUGAAGACGACUCGCUGGGCCUGUCCUGACGCUGAGGUGCGAAAGCCAGGGGAGCAAACGGG
rnacentral:rRNA from 1 species